CUGCUGCCUAUAACUGUGUCACACGCUCACUCUAAAUCGGCACAAGAUUUCUCCAACAGACCGAACACUAAAUCACAAAUACUAAUCAAAAGAAAAGAAUAAAGUAGGAAGGGGCAGAAACUGGAGAUAAAAGAGAAUUCACAAGUUACAGGGAACUAAAGUGUAUUAUUAAAAAGUCCCGCAAGUACAAACAUGAAUCUCUUUUGGCGCCAUAACAGCUUUGACCUCAGUCCCCAGUCACAAGGUUUCUAAAGUGCUGGGACUCACAAAGAACGCAGGAUCUCCAUCAGCGACUUAAAGUCACGGCUGUAAGUUGGAGAAAAAGCACCAUUUAAAAAAGAAUUGGUCUUCAAGGAACAAUAGGGCCCUGCACAGCUCUAGAGAGGGCACUCAGCAGGCCAAGGAAUACAACAGCCCUGCAGGCCAAAAUAUUGAACAGGAGCCACCACAUACAAGAUCCCUCGCAUUCUGAUGACUGCUCUCACGUUCCUCUGAGCUCCACAUCAUACCUGAAGCCAAUCCGACUUGCUUUACCUGAGCACAGGUGAGUUACCUGGAUACAGGAAGGGCUCUGGGACCCGAUAGAACUGAAGACUCAGCAGCAGUUACAGCGAAAACAAGACACAGACUCGUAAAUCAGGCCAGGUUGACGGUGGGGAUCGAGGACGACAAGCUCCAUCUCCAGUUGUGUGGGGUCCACGUGGCCUGGCACAGACGGGCAGCAGGAGACGCCUGGGUUGGUGGAUGUGCUGUAACGUUGUGGUGCCAUGAAUGCACGGCUGCAGGUACAGCCCAGUGCCCACUGUCUCCCAGAGAAACCUCCAUGCCCUGGAGUUGGAACACGCUGGUGCUAUGGAUGAUAUGAACCCGCUGUGUCCACUGGCUCUCUGGAUGAUUAGAACAUACUGUCUACUGGUGCUCUGGAUAAUAUGAACACACAGUCCACUGGCCCUCUGGAUGUUUUCAAGAGGGAGUUAGAUUUAGCUCUUAGGGCUAACGGAAUCAGGGGAUAUGGGGAGAAAGCCCGAACGGGGUACUGAUUUUGGAUGAUCAAACAUGAUCAUAUUGAAUGACGGAACUACCUCAAAGGGCCGAAUGGUCUACUCCUGCACCUAUAUUUCUAUGUUUCUAUGAUGUGAACGCUUGGUGUCCACUGCUCUCUGGAUGUCUCCUGGGACCAUAGAGUCAUAGAGUGAUACAGCGUGGAAACAGGCCCUUCGGCCCAACUUGCCCACACCGGCCAACAUGUCCCAUCAUGUCCCACCUGCCCGCGUUUGGCCCAUAUCCCUCUAAACCUGUCCUAUCCAUGUACCUGUCCAUAAUAUAUCUUAAACUUUGCGAUAGUCCCUGCCUCAACUCCCUCAUCCGGCAGCUCGUU